rnacentral:rRNA from 1 species
UACAGAGGUCUCAAGCGUUGUUCGGAUUCAUUGGGCGUAAAGGGUGCGUAGGCGGCGUGGUAAGUCGGAUGUGAAAUCUCGGAGCUUAACUCCGAAACUGCAUUCGAUACUGCCGUGCUUGAGGACUGGGGAGGAGACUGGAAUUUACGGUGUAGCGGUGAAAUGCGUAGAUAUCGUAAGGAAGACCAGUGGCGAAGGCGGGUCUCUGGACAGUUCCUGACGCUGAGGCACGAAGGCCAGGGGGGCAAACGGG